UACGUAGGGGGCAAGCGUUGUCCGGAAUCAUUGGGCGUAAAGAGCGCGUAGGCGGCCCUGUAAGUCCGCUGUGAAAGUCAAGGGCUCAACCCUUGGAUGCCGGUGGAUACUGCAGGGCUAGAGUCCGGAAGAGGCGAGUGGAAUUCCUGGUGUAGCGGUGAAAUGCGCAGGAUAUCAGGAGGAACACCGAUGGCGAAGGCAGCUCGCUGGGACGGUACUGACGCUGAGGCGCGAAAGCGUGGGAGCAAACAGG
rnacentral:rRNA from 1 species